AUGGAGAAGCUGACGCCGAGCAACGCGAAGAAGGCGAUGGAGGACAGGGAGGAGAAGCCCAAGGUGCCGUCGACCGACCCGGACGACAACCUCGACGACCUCGCCGCCGGGCAGCGGCAGCCGCAGCUGCAGAGGGAGCACCAGGCGCCCAACAUCUCGGAGAUGAAGCCGAUGACGCGGGAGGCAUACGGCGGCGGGAUGUACGCGGCGGAGGAGGGCCGGAGGGAGCCCGGGAAGCCGCGGGCCAGCGCCACGCAGAGCGCCGACGGGCCGGAGGAGCCCGUGGCCAAGCCCAGGCACCCGCCGCCGCCGUCCACCGGCGACCGCGACCUCGACAUCACCGGCAUGUCCUACAUCCAGUAG
rnacentral:rRNA from 1 species